rnacentral:lncRNA from 1 species
CAGCCAACUUUCACUAUGAAAAUUCAAAAAAUGUUGUCUAAGCAGAUUACAGAUUACAUGUACAUGGCAUGUGAUGAUUUCGACGUUAUGGUUUAAUGUCGUAUAGAAAUACAUAUAUAUAGGUAAAAUUAGAGGUGUUGUGUGAGUUUGUGACCAUGGUCUGCAUGGAAGGAAGAGGAAUUCGGUGGUGUCACGGAGGACAUGUUUACGAAGGAUGUUCCUUAUGCCACCAUCGAUGGCGAAGAUAAGAUUGUCGGAGAGAUCAAAAGCGUCGUAACGAUCCAAGCUCUCACUAACUCUGUCAUGUACUGUAACAUCUAUCCCACAAACACACCAUUGUUUCUCAAACAAUAUUCUUGGGAGCAAGUUUAAAACAAGAACUUAUUAAAAAAGAGUAAAAAAUAUGGUUUUGUAGAUCAAAGGAUCAGCGUUCUCAUUUUGAUUCCUUCUUAAUGGUUGUUAGAUUGCUUGGGGAAGGCUGCUCUGUCAAUGGAGUCUCCUGAAGCUGUUUCGUCUGGUUCUCCUCCCUUGCCGCCUGAACCUCCAGAUCCGGAUCUCGACGUGAUGCUCCUGGUGGAUCAUCCUGGUCCUCCAGUCCCCCCCGACCCCCCGCCGGUUCUUCUAGGUUGUGCGCUUCUCCGCCAGAUCUCGUUGUCUUUCACCACUCCUCAC